rnacentral:rRNA from 1 species
UUCCGUAGGGUGAACCUGCGGAGGGAUCAUUACCGAGUUUACAACUCCCAAACCCAAUGUGAACGUUACCAAACUGUUGCCUCGGCGGGAUCUCUGCCCCGGGUGCGUCGCAGCCCCGGACCAAGGCGCCCGCCGGAGGACCAACCAAAACUCUUAUUGUAUACCCCCUCGCGGGUUUUUUUAUAAUCUGAGCCUUCUCGGCGCCUCUCGUAGGCGUUUCGAAAAUGAAUCAAAACUUUCAACAACGGAUCUCUUGGUUCUGGCAUCGAUGAAGAACGCAGCGAAAUGCGAUAAGUAAUGUGAAUUGCAGAAUUCAGUGAAUCAUCGAAUCUUUGAACGCACAUUGCGCCCGCCAGUAUUCUGGCGGGCAUGCCUGUCCGAGCGUCAUUUCAACCCUCGAACCCCUCCGGGGGGUCGGCGUUGGGGAUCGGCCCUGCCUUGGCGGUGGCCGUCUCCGAAAUACAGUGGCGGUCUCGCCGCAGCCUCUCCUGCGCAGUAGUUUGCACACUCGCAUCGGGAGCGCGGCGCGUCCACAGCCGUUAAACACCCAACUUCUGAAAUGUGACCUCGAUCAAAGAGACAGAA